AUGACAAUUGUCCAUACAUACGGGAAGCCAGACAUCUUCCUCACCAUGACUUGCAAUCCUAAAUGGGAAGAGAUAACAAAUGAGUUGCUGCCUGGUCAGACGGCGCAAGACCGACCUGAUAUUGUGGCUCGUGUGUUCUAUGGCAAACUAGAGCACAUGAAAUACAUGUUGUUCAAGGAGCAGAUCCUAGGUGUUGUAGUCGCUUACGUAUACGUAGUCGAGUUCCAAAAAAGGGGCCUCCCCCAUGCACAUUUUUUGUUGAUCAUGGACUCAACAUAUAAGCUUAUCGUCCCAGAACAGUAUGAUCGACUCAUUUCCGGGGAGCUCCCAGACAAGCAUAAGUAUCCGGAUUUGUAUGCAAUGGUGGUAAAACAUAUGAUGCACGGACUAUGCGGUGAUCUCAACCCGAAGAAUGUUUGCAUGCAAGACAACGGUUGCAAGUGCAGAUAUCCACGGCCGUUCAAUGAGAACACAUCAUAG
rnacentral:rRNA from 1 species